UGUUAAAAAUUUCAUCUAUUUCUACUAUUAAAAAUUAAUGUAACUGACAGAAUAACCAGAAAAUUACAUGUAGUGUGCCAUGAAUACCUCAUUCUGACAUACAGGGGCCAGAUUUUAACCAUAUAAAUGGAUGGAAUUUUUAACA
rfam:Gossypium hirsutum cultivar TM-1 chromosome 1, whole genome shotgun sequence